rnacentral:snRNA from 1 species
AUGCUCACUUCAGCAGCACAUAUACUAAAACUGGAAUGGUACAGAGAAGAUUAGCAUGGCCCCUGUGCAAGUAUGACACACAAAUUCAUGAAGCAUUCCGUAUUUUU